CAGCCGGCGAGUCCUCAACUGACGCUAAUGCUCGAAAGUGCGGGUAUCGAACAGGAUUAGAUACCCUGGUAGUCCGCACGGUAAACGAUGGAUGCCCGCUGUUGGCGAUAUAUUGUCAGCGGCCAAGCGAAAGCGUUAAGCAUCCCACCUGGGGAGUACGCCGGCAACGGUGAAACUCAAAGGAAUUGACGGGGGCCCGCACAAGCGGAGGAACAUGUGGUUUAAUUCGAUGAUACGCGAGGAACCUUACCCGGGCUUGAACUGCAGCAGAACGAUAGAGAGAUCUUGAGGCCCUUCGGGGCUGCUGUGGAGGUGCUGCAUGGUUGUCGUCAGCUCGUGCCGUGGGGUGUCGGCUUAAGUGCCAUAACGAGCGCAACCCCUUCCGUCAGUUGCCAUCACUUUGGGUGGGCACUCUGGCGGUACUGCCACCGUAAGGUGUGAGGAAGGUGGGGAUGACGUCAAAUCAGCACGGCCCUUACGUCCGGGGCUACACACGUGUUACAAUGGGUGGUACAGAGAGUCAACCGCCGGCAACGUCGGUUUAAUCAAUAAAGCCAUCCUCAGUUCGGAUUGGGGUCUGCAACCCGACCCCAUGAAGCUG
rnacentral:rRNA from 1 species